UUCUAUGACUCAUUUCAAAUUAAUGUUGGUAUACAGAGUGACGCAGGGGCAAGGUUCAUUUUUUAAAUAUAUGUAGAUAUCCAGUUAAGUCUUCAUUUAUUGCAAACAUUUUCCCCACUGAGUUAUACUGAGACCUUUGUUAUACUUAGAGGUUUUCACAGUGGGGGUCUUUUUAGCCCAGAGUGGAAAGUCACCCAGGACCAGAUGAAUGAAUACUUCCUUGCGCCUCUAUUUUGAAUCCCAUCAUAUUCACUGUGGCCCUGGCUCCUGACAGGGUCCCUGAUGGAGAACAUCCAGUGGGGAAGGGGUGGGGGUUGAGGAAGGUGGUGGUGAAAAAAAAGGGAAGCCAAUUACCCUUCCUCCCUUCCCUGGACCAUAGACCUUCACCUGUAGACUCCAGCUGAGGGAAGGGAGCAGCUUUAACCAUUAGGUCAAGGCUCUCUGUGACUUAAAGUUACCAUAGGGAUAAUUAUCCCCUAAGACUGACCAGAAAUGUGAUGGGAGUUCUUGUGUUUUCACACAGGUAGGAAGGUAAGUGCUUCCUCCGCUGACAAGCUUUGAAGGACUAGGAGAUGAAGUUACUUCAGUGAUCACAAAGCACAGGACUCACUUCUUCAAGGAACCUGUUACACAAAAGGAUUAGUUAAGCAAAGUCUCAGUGUUUGAGACAUCACGUUAUGCUGAUGCAGUGGCAGGAAAAGAGCGAGACAAAGAGAGAACUUAAAGGAUACGAUUCUCAAGAGCACUUUUUGAAGAAAGUACCAUAUGAAGAACUUCAGGCAACUGAAAUAGGAAUGGAAUCCACUGAGCCCACAGCCAAAGGGGAGAAGAGGC